GACGAACGCUGGCGGCGUGCUUAACACAUGCAAGUCGAACGGUGAAGCGCCUUCCUUUUUGGUGGGUGUGGAUGAGUGGCGAACGGGUGAGUAACACGUGAGUAACCUGCCCCCUUCUUCUGGAUAACCGCAUGAAAGUGUGGCUAAUACGGGAUAUUCUGGGUCUGUCGCAUGAUGGGUCUGGGAAAGAUAUUGUUUCGGUGGGGGAUGGGCUCGCGGCCUAUCAGCUUGUUGGUGGGGUGAUGGCCUACCAAGGCGGUGACGGGUAGCCGGCCUGAGAGGGUGGACGGUCACACUGGGACUGAGACACGGCCCAGACUCCUACGGGAGGCAGCAGUGGGGAAUAUUGCACAAUGGGCGCAAGCCUGAUGCAGCGACGCCGCGUGAGGGAUGGAGGCCUUCGGGUUGUGAACCUCUUUCGCCAGUGAAGCAGGCCUGCCUCGUCUGUGGGUGGGUUGACGGUAGCUGGAGAAGAAGCGCCGGCUAACUACGUG
rnacentral:rRNA from 1 species